GUCUUCGUGGUGUAGUGGUCAGUACGCUCGACGUGUAACCGAGAGGUCCGUAGUUCGAUUCCCGGCGAAGACA
rnacentral:tRNA from 1 species